ACUUUUAUCCUGUACAAAUCUCCCACAGUUUUCAACUGGAUUAGCUAACUAAUCCAACAGUUUGCCUUGGAUUAGCUAACGUGCCAUUGGAACACAGGAGAGAUGGCUGCUGAUAAUGGGCCUCUGUAUGCCUAAAUAAUCUGCAGUUUCCAGACAGACAGACUCCUUCUCUUCACCGUGUACCGUGCACUGUCAACAGGAAACAUGCUGAUCCUGUGCUGUGAGUGGCAACAUGACGUUUCACAUUGGUGAAGGUUGUAUUGGUAUGUAUAGUGUGACUUGUGUCUGUAUAGUAUAUGGUAAUGUACAGUAUGAGUAACAGGCAUACACACACUGCAUUUGCGAAUCAGUAAAAGUGUCAGUACUGUAUGUUACAGUAUGUAUGGUAUCAGUAUUGUGGUGAGUGUGUUUUGUGUCUGUGUGCUCAUAUGUAUGUACACCACAAGUGUGUGCAUUUGUCUGUUGACCCUGGACGUUUGUGUGCGCAAACAUGCAUCUACAGUAUGCGUGUCUGUAUUUUUGUGCGUGUAUGUGCAUGUAUACAUGUGUGUGGGAGAGUGAGUGAUCAUCCAGAUAUCAAGGUCGUUGGCUCACCUGAUGCAGGCAGUUUGGCAGCGAGGUAAAGCUCUGAACAUGCCUCAACCCCAGCAGAGAGCUGAGGAAGCAGUGUAGGGCGGCCUGGUACUCCCCCUGCUGCUGGAGCUGCUGUCCCAGCUGAAACAGGCCCUCCCUCCCCCCGUUCAGCAUCCCCAGUCCCAGCCAGAGGCAGAGCUGCCUCCCAUCGGAGCUCUGCCAGCCAGGGACAAAUGCUCCACUCCACCCAACUCUACUACAGCCCCAGAGCAGAGAGGAUAAAAAAGAAUGAAAACAGCCCUGAGAUAAAAAAUACAGCAGAGAUAGGGUUUAGAAGAGCCAGACUACAGAACGGCUUCCACUCAGUCUCAUCUAUCCACAGGAACUCAAGGGCAGGUGACGAGCUGAGCUAAAGAGCAAGCGGAGGCAGGCUGAGAGAGGCUCAAUGGCUGAGAGAAGACAGAUCCACGCCCCUCCCUCUCCUCCCACGCUGCAUCAGGAAAGGAGGAGAGGAAGUCAGAGGGGAUUUGUUCACUGACUGGCAGAGCCCACGACCAAUCACUGUUUUACUCACGUACAGUAGACCAGCCAGCGUGUGUGAGCAGUCUCAGCAAGUAGGAAAUGGAGCUGUCGACUGAGCACUGUGGCUGGCUUUCCCUCACUCCUUAUGAAACCAAACUGCAGGGCUUUAAGCUUCUGCAAGGAUUCACUACUGUGCACGCUUAAUAUAUUAGAUUUGUUAAUUUCAUAUAAUUUCAGGAUACACUGACCUAAUUUGUCUAGUGCACUCGUACAGCAAUUUUGUGCAAGUGUGAAAACAUGUCUUGGGGGGAAGGAAUUAAAUCAAGAAAUCUUAAUGCUUUACUUAUGGUUUAUAAAUGAGAAGCCUGUGAAAAUGUGCAAUGUCCAUACACAGACUUGAGAAUGUGCUUGAGAAAGAAAUUCAAUAUGUCUACAUGUUUCCCUGAGUAGCAUAAGCACAUGGACGUUUUAACAUAUAUUCAUAACAUUUUUAUAUUGAUAUAUAUCUUUUUUUAUAAUAAUAAUUACAUAUUUGAUAUCAAUAAUAAAAAAAAAUUAUAUCAACAAUUUUUGGGGAUGUCAAUGCACUUCAUGAAGGCGGGAUUGCAUGUGCAUGCUUCUACAUACAGUCGCUAGUCUACACACCCCUUGUACGAUCUUCACAUUUUGCUGCCUUAAAAUGUAAUCUAAAAAGAGACGUGCAAGGCUAGAUUUAUUUCCUAUAGAUCUACACAAUUUGCUCCUCUUUUUCAAAGUAAAAUAAAAAUUAUAGAACAUUUUACAAAUGAAUACAAAAAUAAGAAAUGAAAAUGUGUUAAUGACGUGUCUUCACACCCCAGAUUUAAUAUGUGGUGUCACGACUUCUGCUGAAGUUGGUUCCUCUCCCUGUUUGUGCGGUGUUCGGCGGUCGACGUCACCGGUCUUCUAGCCAUCGCCGAUCCAUUUUUCAUUUUCUAUUUGUUUUGUCUUGUUUUCCCACACACCUGGAUUUCAUUUCCCUCAUUACUUGUUGUGUAUUUAACCCUCUGUUCCCCCCAUGUCUUUGUGUGGUAUUGUUUGUUUGUAAGUGCUUGUGCACAUGUUGACUGGUGCGUGUCGGGUUUUGUACCCAUGUUGUUAUUUUCUUGAUGCCGUUGGUUUUGGUAUUAAACUGCUCUGGCUAUUACCUAGUUAUGCUCUCCUGCGUCUGACUUCCCUGCACCAGUUAUGCACCCCUUACAUGUGGUGGAAGCACCUUUGGCAGCCAUUACAGUUGUGAAUCAUUUUGAAAAAUAUUCUUCUAGCCUUGCAUGACUUUAAUGGCAACAUAUCCAUUGCUUUUAUCAAAAAUACUCAAGCUCAGUAAAUUUGAUUGAGAUUCAUUGAUGGACAACAACAUUCAAUUCUUGUCACUGAUUUACAAGCAGAUUUAGGUCAGGACUGGGACUACAAGAUUCUUUCUUGAACACUCAACACCUCUUGGAAAGCCAUUCUUUGGCAUUAGAAUUUGUGUAAUUGUUACACUGAAAAAUAUAACUAUCCAGGGUUAGCUUUCAGUAGACUAUGGCUUGUUUUCAUUUUUUUCAUUUUUUUCAUUUUUUUUUCAUUUUUUCAUUUUUCUUUUGAUCGUAACAUACUCCCCAACCGGUACCAAGUGUACCCAUAACAUGAUGCUGCCACCACAAAACUCAUCUUAUUCAAAAUGAUUCCCACUUGUAAUGGUAUUCCCCUGUCCUCUAUUACCCUUUCCUCUUCACGCUGUAUACAAACGACUACGUGGUUAAGUUCUCGGAAGACACCGAUGUCCUAGGGCUCUUAAACAAAGGCUUUGACACCAACGGGUACAAGGCAGAGUUUGAAGGAUUCACCAGACGGUAUAAUGAACAUCACCUACAACUGAAUGUGAAAAAAACUGAGGAGAUGAUCAUUGACCCUAAGUCCAACAGCCCCAUUGUGGUACACAGAGAGAACAUUGAGCAGGUGAACUCGUACAAGUACCUGGGGGUCCACAUUGACAGUGGGCUGUGCUGGUGCACCGAUGUGGAGAGCGCAUGCUCACGCAUCCAACACACUUGCACUUCCUGUGUUGCCUCAGGGUCUAUGGAGUUAACCAGAUCAUGCUCCUCUUUUAUAGAUCCAUCAAUGCAUCAAUCCUACGCUACGGCAUUGCUACAUUGUUUGGUAACCUGACAGUGCAGCUCUUGGCCAAAAUCUUGAGACUGACCAAGACAGCAGGGAAGAUUAUUGGCCUGAAAGUUCCAUCCUCUCUCCAGGACAUUUUCGAGGAGACCAUCAGCAGCCAAUAGCCUCAAGGUCAUAUCGGACCCCACACAUGCACUGAACACAGGGUUCUAGCUUGGUGCCUACAGUGCAUUCGGAAAGUAUUCAGACCCCUUGACUUUUUCCACAUUUUGUUACGUCACAGCCUUAUUCUAAAAUGGAUUGAAAUAUUAUUUUUCCUCAUUCCUACAUUAAUCUACACACAAUACCCCAGGAUGCAUGUUUAUUAAAAACAGAAAUAACUAAUUUACAUAAGUAUUCAGACCUUUUGCUAUGAGACUCGAAAUUGAACUCAGGUGCACCCUGUUUCAAUGGAUCAUCUUUGAGAUGUUUC
ensembl:lncRNA